rnacentral:rRNA from 1 species
CAGCCGCCGCGGGAAUACGGAGGGUGCAAGCGUUAAUCGGAAUUACUGGGCGUAAAGCGCACGCAGGCGGUCUGUUAAGUCAGAUGUGAAAUCCCCGGGCUCAACCCGGGAACUGCAUUUGAAACUGGCAGGCUUGAGUCUUGUAGAGGGGGGUAGAAUUCCAGGUGUAGCGGUGAAAUGCGUAGAGAUCUGGAGGAAUACCGGUGGCGAAGGCGGCCCCCUGGACAAAGACUGACGCUCAGGUGCGAAAGCGUGGGGAGCAAACAGGAUUAGAUACCCGAGUAGUCCCUGUCUCUUAUAC